rnacentral:rRNA from 1 species
UACGGAGGGUGCGAGCGUUGUCCAGAAUCACUGGGCGUAAAGGGCGCGUAGGCGGCCUUCUAAGUCGAACGUGAAAGCCCCGGGCUCAACCUGGGAAUGGCCGUUGAAACUGGCGAACUGGAGUGUGGCAGAGGGGGGUGGAAUUCCGCGUGUAGCAGUGAAAUUCGUAGAUAUCGGGAGGAACACCGGUGGCGAAGGCGGCGAUCUGGGUAGAUACUGACGCUGAGGUGCGAAAGCGUGGGGAGCAAACAGG